AUUCAUCCUGGAGAAGGAGCAGCUCAGGGGAGACCUUAUCACUCUCUACAGCUGCCUGAAAGAAGGCUGUAGCCAGGCAGGGGUCAGUCUCUUCUCCAGGCCAACAGUGACAGGACAAGAGGACAUAGUCUUAAGCUGCACCAGGGGAGGUUUAGGUUGGACCUUAGGAAUUUCUUCACAGAAGGAGUGACUGGGCAUUGGAAUGGGCUGCACGGGGAGGUGGUGGAGUCACAAUCCCUGGAGGUGUUUAAGAAAAGACUGGAUGUGGCACUCAGUGUCUAACUGACAAGGCAGUGUUAGGUCAUAGGUUGGACUCAAUAAUGUCAAAAGUCUUUUCCAACCUGAUUGAUUCUGUGACUCUGUAAUGCUUGCAAUGAAAUUCCCACAAGGAUUGCAAAGCAACAAGCCUUUUCAGCAACAAAAGGACACACAUAAUGCUUCUAUCAUACCUACUACUUCUCAAGUGCUGAAAACAUUGACACAAAAGACAAGUAGUGAAGUUGCAUGGCUGGAGCCGCUACCUCUUCUAGAAGAAGUUUGACACCCCUGCUCCAAAUUAGGGAAAAUAGGCCUUUACAGGCACUUCUACCAAUUCAUCAAAAUGAAGCACUGAUAAUGGCAGCUGAAUUCUUCAGCACAGAAGAUAAGAGCAGUAGUACCUGGCAGUUUGCACAAUUCUGGGUCAUGGCAUGUCUACCACAACUUGUAAUGGAGUGUACAAGUACACGUUUCUUACCAUGAAUACAAGUCAACCUGCAAAACAUAUUUUGAAUUAAUAAACUUGAG